rnacentral:rRNA from 1 species
AGGCAGCAGUUGGGAAUAUUGGGCAAUGGCCGAGAGGCUGACCCAGCCAUGCCGCGUGCAGGAUGAAGGCUUUCUGAGUCGUAAACUGCUUUUGCCAGGGAAGAAAAAAGGGGAUGCGUCCUCUACUGACGGUACCUGGUGAAUAAGCACCGGCUAACUCCGUGCCAGCAGCCGCGGUAAUACGGAGGGUGCAAGCGUUGUCCGGAUUUAUUGGGUUUAAAGGGUGCGUAGGCGGCUGAUUAAGUCUGGGGUGAAAGCCCGUUGCUCAACAACGGAACUGCCCUGGAAACUGGUUAGCUUGAGUACAGACGAGGGUGGCGGAAUGGAUGCUGUAGCGGUGAAAUGCAUAGAUAGCAUCCAGAACCCCGAUUGCGAAGGCAGCUGCCUAGACUGUAACUGACGCUGAGGCACGAAAGCGUGGGGAGCGAACAGGAUUAGAUACCCUAGUAGUCC